GGGAGUGUAGCUCAGCGGUAGAGCACACCGUUCACAUCGGUGUGGUCACAGGUUCGAUCCCUGUCACUCCCACCA
rnacentral:tRNA from 1 species